CUCCUCUAGCGCCUUAAUGGCCGCUUGGUUAAUCCUUGUCCUUUCCUCAUUAUUGAACAAUGUCAUUAAUAACUGCUGGCAAUCAGCCCAUGUCGGGUUAUGUGUCUGAACUAUCGAGGUGAACAGAUCGGUCAUAGCUUGUGGUUUCUCAGUGUACGAGGAAUUGUGGGUCUUCCAAUUCAAGAGAUCGGUAGUCGUGAACGGGACAUAUACGAAGACUGGGUCAGCA